UACGUAGGGUGCGAGCGUUGUCCGGAAUUAUUGGGCGUAAAGGGCUCGUAGGCGGCCAACUAAGUCAGACGUGAAAUCCCCAGGCUCAACCUGGGAACUGCGUCUGAUACUGGAUGGCUUGAAUUCGGGAGAGGGAUGCAGAAUUCCAGGUGUAGCGGUGAAAUGCGUAGAUAUCUGGAGGAAUACCGGUGGCGAAGGCGGCAUCCUGGACCGACAUUGACGCUGAUGAGCGAAAGCUAGGGGAGCAAACGGG
rnacentral:rRNA from 1 species